GAUCCUGGCUCAGGACGAACGCUGGCGGCGUGCCUAACACAUGCAAGUCGAACGGGGCUAGGAAAGCUUGCUUUCCGAAGCCUAGUGGCGGACGGGUGAGUAACGCGUGAGUAACCUGCCUUUCAGAGGGGAAUAACGUUCUGAAAAGAACGCUAAUACCGCAUAACGUACAGUUACCGCAUGGUAGCAGUACCAAGGGAGCAAUCCGCUGAAAGAUGGACUCGCGUCCGAUUAGCUAGUUGGUGGGGUAAAGGCCU
rnacentral:rRNA from 1 species